AUACGGAGGGUGCAAGCGUUAUUCGGAAUCACUGGGCGUAAAGGACGCGUAGGCGGGUUGGCAAGUCAGAUGUGAAAUCCUACAGCUUAACUGUAGAACUGCAUUUGAAACUGCUAACCUAGAGUAUGUGAGGGGGAGAUGGAAUUAGUGGUGUAGGGGUAAAAUCCGUAGAUAUCACUAGGAAUACCGAAAGCGAAGGCGAUCUCCUGGAACAUAACUGACGCUAAGGCGUGAAAGCGUGGGGAGCAAACAGGAUUAGAUACCCUAGUAGUCC
rnacentral:rRNA from 1 species